rnacentral:rRNA from 1 species
AUAGCGAACAAGUACCGUGAGGGAAGAUGAAAAGAACUUUGAAAAGAGAGUAAAAUAGUACGUGAAAUUGUUGAAAGGGAAACGAUUGAAGUCAGUCGUACCGACGGAAAAUCAGCUCUUCGAGUGCGAACUUGUGGGCGUACGUGAGCUUUAACCGGCCUCGUUGUUUGCGAUGUUUGUGCUUUUUGGGUGUACUUUUUCGUAUGGUUGGCCAACGUCAGUUUCGGUUACCAUAAAAUGAUUGGAGGAAUGU